ACUGAAGAAGAAGUUGACAAACCGAAUGCGUCAAACGAGUUCACAUCGUGUUCCUGCUGCACAAGAGCGUCUGUACUUCUGCAUGUGAUGGUCAGCGGCUGAUUGUUUCCUGAAAGCUCUGCUAAUGUCUGCAUUGGUGUUUUAGCUGCAGUAUGGCAGAGGAGCGAGUAAAGGACUCUCUCUCAGAGAAACACAGGAGUGAUGGACAGUCCUGUCUUGUCACGGUGCUGCCGUAGCCUUAUUGGCUGUUGACAAUGCAUAGAGGCAAUAGUGGACGAGGGCCAAGCCUGUAUAAAAUGCAGGUCUGCAGUGUCAGGAGAUUCUAUUGUGGUUGUGGCUGGCUUGUCUGAGGUCCUAAGUGUCAUUAAGGCCUUAGACGAACAGUACAACUCAUGUUGAAGCUGUCAACUGAACCUAUAAGCUGAUUUCUGGGUCUGGCAAGAGCACAUUUGAUUAGAAGGAAUCAUUUAAUUGGGUUUGGCCAUUUGCAUUUUUUUAAUGCUUUACCUAUUAAAAGCUUGACUCUUCUGUUGUGGCAUUUUGUUCUAGAUGGGAACUUUUCAUUUUGUCAAUCUUCUAGUCUGAUAUGGCUAGGAUCUGUAGUCUUCUUUCAGUGUAAUCAAGGAACUUUGCUGCUGCUCCAUGAUUGUAACAGGUGUAAUAUUACGCAAUGCUGUUACCUAGCUGGGAACAAUUUUCAAAUGCUUGCGUUUCUUUAGCUACAGCCAUGGUAUGGCAGCAAAAUACUUUCAAAAUUAAACUGGAAUGUGUACAGAACCGAGCCAUAUCUGCCUGAAAACAACAAUUUAAUUUUCUGUUGGUCUUACUACAGAAUGUGAUGACAAAUGUCAAAAUUUAAAUAGGAAAGUCAGAACUUUUUUUUUUAUUAGCAAGAUGCUAUUGGUCUAAUCUAAUUCAAUGAUCUAUGCUAAGCUAAAGCCAACUCCCCCAACCCCCUCAUUUCAAAUGUAUGUAUUAGUUUGUAUGCAUGUUUAUAUGCAGUUUACACAAUACAGUACGUUAGUGUUAUUACCACCUUUUUCAUACAGUUUGUGAUUUAAAGACAUUCUGUUGGCAUGUUUGAGAAUAAAAAAACUUUCAUUGAA